rnacentral:tRNA from 1 species
GCGGUUAUGGUGAAAUUGGUAGACACAUUAAGUUUAGGUUUUAACGGUAUUUUUUAUAAAAUCAUGAGGGUUCAAGUCCCUCUUUCCGCA